rnacentral:rRNA from 1 species
CUGGCCUUGACAUCCUGCGAACUUUCUAGAGAUAGAUUGGUGCCUUCGGGAACGCAGUGACAGGUGCUGCAUGGCCGUCGUCAGCUCGUGUCGUGAGAUGUUGGGUUAAGUCCCGUAACGAGCGCAACCCCUAUCCCUAGUUGCUAGCAGUUCGGCUGAGAACUCUAGGGAGACUGCCGGUGACAAACCGGAGGAAGGUGGGGAUGACGUCAGGUCAUCAUGGCCCUUACGGCCAGGGCUACACACGUGCUACAAUGGUGCGUACAGAGGGCUGCAAACCCGCGAGGGGGAGCUAAUCUCACAAAACGCAUCGUAGUCCGGAUCGGAGUCUGCAACUCGACUCCGUGAAGUCGGAAUCGCUAGAAAGCGCGAAUCAGAAUGUCGCGGUGAAUACGUUCCC